CUGGCCUUGACAUGCUGAGAACUUUCCAGAGAUGGAUUGGUGCCUUCGGGAACUCAGACACAGGUGCUGCAUGGCUGUCGUCAGCUCGUGUCGUGAGAUGUUGGGUUAAGUCCCGUAACGAGCGCAACCCUUGUCCUUAGUUACCAGCACGUUAUGGUGGGCACUCUAAGGAGACUGCCGGUGACAAACCGGGGGAAGGUGGGGAUGACGUCAAGUCAUCGUGGCCCUUACGGCCAGGGCUACACACGUGCUACAAUGGUCGGUACAAAGGGUUGCCAA
rnacentral:rRNA from 1 species